rfam:Neotoma lepida isolate 417 scaffold_1332, whole genome shotgun sequence.
UGGCUCAGUGGUUAAGAGCACUGGCUAUUCUUCCAGAGGACCUGGGUUCAAUUCCCAG